rnacentral:rRNA from 1 species
CCAUGUCCAGGCUGAAGCUGCCGUAAGAGGUAGUGGAGGGCCGAACGCACAUCCGUUGAAAAGGGUGGCGAUGAGGUGUGGGUAGGGGAGAAAUUCCAAUCGAACCCGGAGAUAGCUGGUUCUCCUCGAAAUAGCUUUAGGGCUAGCCUCGAUGGAGUCUUACGGAGGUAGAGCACUGAAUUUCUAAGGGGGCGUCAAAGCUUACCAAGGGAUAUCAAACUCCGAAUGCCGUAAAGAUGCUCAUCGGGAGUCAGACUGCACGAGAUAAGUUGGGCAGUCAAAAGGGAAAGAGCCCAGACCUGCUGCUAAGGUCCCAAAGUACGUGUUAAGUGGAAAAGGAUGUGGGAUUUCGAAGACAACUAGGAUGUUGGCUCAGAAGCAGCCACACAUUCAAAGAGUGCGUAAUAGCUCACUAGUCGAGAGGUCCUGCGCCGAAAAUGUCCGGGGCUGAAACACGACACCGAAGCACAGGAUACCGCAAGGUAUGGUAGAGGAGCAUUGCUGGCGCGAUGAAGCAGUACCGGAAGGAGCUGUGGAGUGCCAGGAAGAGAGAAUGCCGGAAUGAGUAGCGAGAGAGAGGUGGGAAUCCUCUCGGCCGAAUAUCCAAGGUUUCCAGGGUAAAGCUGAUCUGCCUGGGUAAGUCGGGGCCUAAGGAGAGGCAGAAAUGCGUAUCCGAUGGACAGCAGGUUGAGAUUCCUGCACUAUCUAAAACAGAACUGUGGGGACAUUUGUGGAGAGCACAGGCGCGGAA